rnacentral:misc_RNA from 1 species
GAAAUCGGAAGAACCUCAAUCCAAACAAAAGGUAAACCCCACAGAAAAACUCCUACUUUUCCCACAUUUGCUCAAAACUUUCCAUAACGUUCGCGAGAAACAAAGAUGGCUUUUCGCUCCUCUCUCUUUCGCCUCAGAUUCCACCGCCUCCGCACCAACACCACGACUAUCACCAACAGGUUGUUCUACUCUGCUUCUCCAUUCCUUUCUACCAUGAAAUCUGAAUGCUCGAUUCUCUCCCCUCUCUCAGAUCUCCGUACAAUCUCUAUGGAAUUUCCCUCGCUCACCGGUCUCCGAUUCUUCUCCACCCCCCGACGCCACCCUGCCCGCUCGAAGACAGUGGACAUAGGGGCCCGAGCCCGUCAACUCCAAACACGCCGCCUCUGGACCUAUGCUUUGACGUUCAGUUGCAUUGCGGGUUUUAUAGUGAUCGUUUUAAACAACUUUCAAGACCAAUUAGUGUUUUAUGUGACCCCAACAGACGCUAUGGAAAAAUACAAAGCAAACCCACAAAAGAACAAAUUCAGAUUAGGUGGAUUAGUUCUCGAAGGAAGCGUUGUUCAACCUGCUUCUUCGCCUGAAAUGGAGUUUGUGAUUACAGAUUUGAUCACUGAUAUUUUGGUCCGGUAUCAGGGAUCGCUGCCCGACUUGUUCAGAGAAGGGCAUUCGGUGGUGGUGGAAGGGUUUGUGAAACCAUUCACAGAGGAGAUAAAGAAGGAGGUGGGAGCGAGGAGCGUUUCAGGGAAAGCGAGGAGCGGGGAGUGUUACUUCUCUGCAACUGAGGUUUUGGCUAAGCAUGAUGAGAAGUAUAUGCCUAAGGAGGUGGCUGCAGCAAUUGAGAAGAAUAAGCAGCUAAUUGAAGCUGGUGAAGGAAGUAAAAAGGAAGCCAUAAACUAAUUGGUAUGAUUCUAAUUUUUUAUUAAUGUGUUCUAUUAUAAGUUAAGGCAUUGGAUUAACGGCUACUUGUUUAGGUCAGGCAAUACUCAUUGAUUUUGAGGGAAAGAUAAUUGGAUCAUUUGAGGCUACUACCUUUUUUUUUUUCGAUGUUGUAAUGUCACAUGCAUUCAUGAAUUAACCCUGCAGAUAACUGGGUAAUGAAUAAUUUCGCCGAGGAAUACAUAUGUAGAUUAGUGAAUCUGCCUCAUUUGUCGAAAAUUUUGGCAAUAUCUUUGGGAUGGAAAUGAUUGAAAUUUAGUAUUUGUUUGAUGGAAAUGAUUUGAAUUGUCUUUUUAUUUCUUGUAAUUAAUUUUUCUAUUAUAUAGAUGAUUUGGGAUGUGGAAUGGAUUGAUAAAGGAUGAGUGGGGAUUUAUUUGGUGGAUGCAGUAACUAAAGUUUUUCUCGUGUACCAGGGAAGAGGUUCUAAUAUGAAGAACUUGAGCAUUUAAUUAAUUUUUAUCUUUUGAUUCCUAAUUGUUGUUAAGGCUUAGUUGUUGUUGUUUUGAUUCCUAAUUACCAUGUUCACUAAUUUCUACCACAAUAUGCAUACAUUUCACAUUGCCUUUUUUUAAUCAUAAGACUGGAGUGUGGUGUUAGUAUAUCACCACACUUUUUUUAACCAAAAGGUAGUUAAGCCAUGUUUAAGAAAAGCAGAACAAAAGUACAUGCUUAGUUUCAGCGAAUAUGCAUUUAAUUAACCUAUCAACAGAAUUGAGAUGAGUGCAUGUCAGGAAAUUGAAUUUUGUUAACAUCAAGAAAAGAAAUUUGUAAAUUGUUUUGCCCUUUUUUGUUCCUUUUUGAAUUUCAGAUAUAGGCGGCUAGGUUUUAAUAAUCUUUAGGUUUUGAGCAUUAGUUAUUCAUACCCUGUUACAUGUGCUUAUAUUGGGAAAGAUGAGUUGAAGUGCUUUGUAGGGGUCUAGCAAUGAUUGGCACUGUAUAAUUUAAGCCCCAGAAUGAUGCAUGUUAUUUAAGGAAGAUGCAGUGUGUUUCCACUUUCCAGAAAGUUGGAGCAGCUGAGAAUUUUACUUCUCUCAGUCUCUUACUUUUUCUCUUGUUGCUGAGUGGUCUUGCUUUGUUGUUGUACUUUCCUAAAAUUAGAAGAUAGGGAGCUUCUCCACGUCCAGCUUUUGUCCACCAUAUUGUAGCUCUUGCAUAUGUUAAAUGUAACGAAGAUCAACAGUGGGUGCAGCUAAUCCCUUUUUUAGUAGACCAGGAACACACUCUCUCUUUCUCUGUAGAGCCUACUGCAACGCUGCAAGCUUUACUUUCUUGAGUUUACAUUGACUGUUACUGGUAUUUUUGGCCCAUAAUAGUUGCCCUUCAAACUUUGCUUUCUUUUCUGUUUUGCCUUUUUAUUCCCAGAAUGAAGUUUUUUUGUGUUUAGAUUUGGGUGAGAUCUUCCUCUGACUCUCAAGAUCUAGGUUUUGCCCUUUCCCUUGGGUGAGAAUGUAUUUUUGGCAAGAUCUUGCUGAAUUGACCAUGGACAAAGGCAGUUGUCUACAGUUGAGAUCUCUCUGCAGAUGUUACUCCCUUACAGAUGUUAGUUCGUAAGCUUGAGAGGUGAAUUGGAGUUAGAACUUCUUAAAGACCCUUGGCUCAACCUAUACUUGAAGACAGAUGACUUUUUCUGCUGCCAGUAUCUUUAUGCUUGUUGAGUGCUGCUUCACAGCCACCACCAAUUUGCGAGUGAGCAUGAAAAUUUAGUCAAGCCUACUUGACUGCUUCAAUGCACUUUCUUAACAUGUGUACAAGUGAAUUCUAUCGAUCUGUAUUGCCGAAGAUUGCCUUGAUACCAAGUAAGGAAUUAUAGCAUAUGCUGUUGCCCUUAGAUUUUCAUGUGGCCUUUGAUAUUACGGGUCGAAACCCCUUUUUCCUUGCGAGGUACAGCGAUCAAGCACUACCCCAAUCUUUGGACAGUCAUCUAUGGUCACAGUGAAUCAGCGUGGACUCCUCUCAGGUCCUGCCCCCUGUAUCUCUCUCAGAAUUACUAUAAAAUAUAUACAGGAAAAACUUUGUAUAAAGCUCAAAGGCAUCAAUGGCUAUCCGGGGGAAGAUUCUCCUUUCAACUACUAUUUCGUGGUGGUUCUAAUCUCUGAGGCAUCGUCCUUGCUCCAUACGUUCUUUUUGGAUCCACAUCAACAAGAAAAGCCCAAAAGAGAAGGCAAUUGAUGAAAUGUCUAGUAAAGAAAUAGCUAACAUUCAAUAGACCUAUCAAUGAACAAAAUAAAUAUCAAGGUUUAAUCAUUUUUGCUAUUGUAAUGGAUCAUAGCUCACAAAUUCUCACAAAGUCCAUCCCUGGAGGUACUUUCGGUCGUAGCCCGUCAGCAUUUUGCUUGGCCGAUUGAUACAUCCCGGG